rnacentral:rRNA from 1 species
UGGGGAAUUUUGGACAAUGGGCGCAAGCCUGAUCCAGCCAUGCCGCGUGCGGGAAGAAGGCCUUCGGGUUGUAAACCGCUUUUGUCAGGGAAGAAAUCUUCUGAGUUAAUACCUCGGGAGGAUGACGGUACCUGAAGAAUAAGCACCGGCUAACUACGUGCCAGCAGCCGCGGUAAUACGUAGGGUGCAAGCGUUAAUCGGAAUUACUGGGCGUAAAGCGUGCGCAGGCGGUUUUGUAAGACAGAGGUGAAAUCCCCGGGCUCAACCUGGGAACUGCCUUUGUGACUGCAAGGCUUGAGUGCGGCAGAGGGGGAUGGAAUUCCGCGUGUAGCAGUGAAAUGCGUAGAUAUGCGGAGGAACACCGAUGGCGAAGGCAAUCCCCUGGGCCUGCACUGACGCUCAUGCACGAAAGCGUGGGGAGCGAACAGGAUUAGAUACCCUGGUAGUCCACGCCCUAAACGAUGUCAACUAGUUGUUGGGGGAUUCAUUUCCUUAGUAACGUAGCUAACGCGUGAAGUUGACCGCCUGGGGAGUACGGUCGCAAGAUUAAAAGC